UACGAGGGGGGCAAAUGUUGUUCGGAAUCACUGGGCGUAAAGGGAGCGUAGGCGGGUUUCUAAGUCAGGUGUUUAAUCCCGGGGCCCAACCCCGGACAGGCACUUGAAACUGGGAAUCUUAAUAGUGGAGAGGUCAGUGGAAUUUGGGGGUGUAGCGGUGGAAUGCGUAGAGAUCCCCAAGAACACCAGUUGCGAAGGCGGCUGACUGGACA
rnacentral:rRNA from 1 species